rnacentral:misc_RNA from 1 species
AAGACUAUAGACCUGCGGAGUACCUGCGGAAGGAUCAUUACAGAGUUACACAACUCCAACCCUUGUGAACCAUACCCAAAUCGUUCUCGUUGCUUCCGGCGGGGGGGACGGGGGGGCCUGAAAACGGCCCGCCCGCCCCGCCCGCCGGGGGCCGCGGGCCCUACGAACCUUUAUAUCUCAACCACCAGAAACCGUCUGAGGAUACAAAACAAAUAAUCAAAACUUUCAACAAUGGAUCUC